GACAGCAUGGUGUAGUGGUUUGAGCAUUGGACUGUGACCCUGGAGACCAGGGUUCAAUUCCCAGCUUGGUCA
rnacentral:tRNA from 1 species